AUCCUGGCUCAGAUUGAACGCUGGCGGCAUGCCUUACACAUGCAAGUCGAACGGUAACAGGUCUUCGGAUGCUGACGAGUGGCGAACGGGUGAGUAAUACAUCGGAACGUGCCCGAUCGUGGGGGAUAACGAAGCGAAAGCUUUGCUAAUACCGCAUAAGAUCUAAGGAUGAAAGCAGGGGACCGCAAGGCCUUGCGCGAACGGAGCGGCCGAUAUCAGAUUAGGUAGUUGGUGAGGUAAAGGCUCACCAAGCCGACGACCUGUAGCUGGUCUGAGAGGACGACCAGCCACACUGGGACUGAGACACGGCCCAGACUCCUACGGGAGGCAGCAGUGGGGAAUUUUGGACAAUGGGCGCAAGCCUGAUCCAGCAAUGCCGCGUGCAGGAUGAAGGCCUUCGGGUUGUAAACUGCUUUUGUACGGAACGAAACGGUGAGCUCUAAUACAGUUUGCUAAUGACGGUACCGUAAGAAUAAGCACCGGCUAACUACGUG
rnacentral:rRNA from 1 species